UUAUUAUUCCCUCGGCCCGGAAAUACUUGUCAAAGAAAUGGAUGCACCUAGAUGUAUUUUAGAUCUAGAUACAUCAUUUUUUAUUUAUUUCUCCGACAAGUAUUUCCGGACGAAGGAAGUAUAUG
rfam:Triticum aestivum genome assembly, contig: Triticum_aestivum_CS42_TGACv1_scaffold_321094_4BL